UACGUAGGUGGCAAGCGUUGUCCGGAUUUAUUGGGUUUAAAGGGUGCGUAGGCGGCUUAUUAAGUCAGGGGUGAAAGACGGUGGCUCAACCAUCGCAGUGCCUUUGAUACUGAUGAGCUUGAAUGAACUAGAGGUAGGCGGAAUGUGACAAGUAGCGGUGAAAUGCAUAGAUAUGUCACAGAACACCGAUUGCGAAGGCAGCUUACUAUGGUUUUAUUGACGCUGAGGCACGAAAGCGUGGGGAUCAAACAGG
rnacentral:rRNA from 1 species